rnacentral:rRNA from 1 species
UGACAAGUUGAGCGCUGAAGGUUGGUACUUGUACCGACUGGAUGAGCAGCGAACGGGUGAGUAACGCGUGGGGAAUCUGCCUUUGAGCGGGGGACAACAUUUGGAAACGAAUGCUAAUACCGCAUAAAAACUUUAAACACAAGUUUUAAGUUUGAAAGAUGCAAUUGCAUCACUCAAAGAUGAUCCCGCGUUGUAUUAGCUAGUUGGUGAGGUAAAGGCUCACCAAGGCGAUGAUACAUAGCCGACCUGAGAGGGUGAUCGGCCACAUUGGGACUGAGACACGGCCCAAACUCCUACGGGAGGCAGCAGUAGGGAAUCUUCGGCAAUGGACGAAAGUCUGACCGAGCAACGCCGCGUGAGUGAAGAAGGUUUUCGGAUCGUAAAACUCUGUUGGUAGAGAAGAACGUUGGUGAGAGUGGAAAGCUCAUCAAGUGACGGUAACUACCCAGAAAGGGACGGCUAACUACGUGCCAGCAGCCGCGGUAAUACGUAGGUCCCGAGCGUUGUCCGGAUUUAUUGGGCGUAAAGCGAGCGCAGGUGGUUUAUUAAGUCUGGUGUAAAAGGCAGUGGCUCAACCAUUGUAUGCAUUGGAAACUGGUAGACUUGAGUGCAGGAGAGGAGAGUGGAAUUCCAUGUGUAGCGGUGAAAUGCGUAGAUAUAUGGAGGAACACCGGUGGCGAAAGCGGCUCUCUGGCCUGUAACUGACACUGAGGCUCGAAAGCGUGGGGAGCAAACAGAUUAGAUACCCUGGUAGUCCACGCCGUAAACGAUGAGUGCUAGAUGUAGGGAGCUAUAAGUUCUCUGUAUCGCAGCUAACGCAAUAAGCACUCCGCCUGGGGAGUACGACCGCAAGUUGAAACUCAAGGAAGUGACGGGGCCCGCACAACGGUGGAGCAUGUGGUUUAAUUCGAGCUACGCGAGAACUUU